rnacentral:rRNA from 1 species
GAUGAACGCUGGCGGCGUGCUUAAUACAUGCAAGUCGAGCGAACCUCUUCGGAGGUUAGCGGCGGACGGGUGAGUAACACGUGGGCAACCUACCUUGUAGAUGGGGAUAACAUCGAGAAAUCGGUGCUAAUACCGAAUAACACUUUUCUCCACAUGGAGAAAAGUUAGAAGUUGGCUUUUGCUAACACUACAAGAUGGACCCGCGGCGCAUUAGCUAGUUGGUGAGGUAACGGCUCACCAAGGCGACGAUGCGUAGCCGACCUGAGAGGGUGAUCGGCCACACUGGGACUGAGACACGGCCCAGACUCCUACGGGAGGCAGCAGUAGGGAAUCUUCCGCAAUGGACGAAAGUCUGACGGAGCAACGCCGCGUGAGUGAUGAAGGCCUUCGGGUCGUAAAACUCUGUUGUUAGGGAAGAACAAGUACCGUUCGAAUAGGGCGGUACCGUGACGGUACCUAACCAGAAAGCCACGGCUAACUACGUGCCAGCCGCCGCCGUAA